AAGAUUCGAACUUGACCUGUUCCGAGACACAAGGCGGAGUUCCUACGAAAAUCAAAUUAAAAUACACCAUUUACGGACACCGUUAUUAACAAUCUUUUACGUUAUCUAAUAACGUAAUUUAUUAGAUAAAUUAAUUACACGCCAUGUAUAAUUAAAUAUUAACAAGCAACCAACAGGAACUACGUGAUUAAAAAUUUUGCACCAAUUGUAUGUUGUGAAUCUCUUGUUCCAUCAAAAAGGAAAAUUGUUCAUCCGAUUUUUAUCUAACGGAACUAUUGGUAAUUCCUGAAUUGCAAAUGCGUGAAAGAGGGACUUGGGGAAGGGAGAACUGGAACCCGUGAACCGUGAAAAGGCACAACUUCGACCCAUGACCUGUCGAAUGAUAUCUAACUUGUCUAUUUUAAAGGAUGUGUUCAAGACAACAUAUAACACAACAUUUUCUCAGAUAUGUCGAUUUAAAUGAAAUUUAUUCAUAAAUACAUUUGGCAUACGCUCCAUGUAUAGUUUAAAGUUUCUUUCAUACAUAUAUUGUUCUAUACUUUCUCCUUUGUAUUAUUAUUUAUUAUUAACAUUUCUAUACUAGCUCGCGUACAUGGAAAAUAAAAAAAAAUAUUUCGUGGGUAUCAAAUGUGAGAAUUUCUUAAUGUUUAGAACCUACAUAAAAAUUGUUAUUAUAAAAACUAACAUGAUAAUAAUGUGUAAUAAAAAUAUU